rnacentral:misc_RNA from 1 species
UCUCCGUUGGUGAACCAGCGGAGGGAUCAUUACAGGACUCGCAAGACUCCUACAACCCUGUGAACUUAACUAUAAGCACGUUGCUUCGGCGGGUGUCUCGGAGGGGGUUCUCCCUCCCCGAGACGCUAAACCCGCCGGCAGCCUACUAUACUCUGUCUCUUUGCGUUGGCAUCUCGAGCACAAUCAAACAAGUUAAAACUUUCAACAACGGAUCUCUUGGUUCUG